ACAAGCUGUGAUGCCUUUGAGAUCAGUACCGGCACAGGGGCUGUUAUCAAGGUUAUACAAAGGUAGUGCCGGAAACAACCAUCAGCAGCAUCAAUCACAAGAAGAAAACCAGGUUGGCAGCCCCAGGAAGCUGGAGUGGAGUGUGACAACAGCCAGUUCUUGAGCACUGACUCUAUGCCUGGAAAUGUUCUAAGUGCUUCACCUGUAGGAACCCUUGUAUUCCUCAAAACAACUCUUCCUAGGUUAAUGUGGCCUGAAAACAUUCCUCUGGAAGCAAUGGAGCAGCAAAUACCUUUCUCAUAUGCACCGCCUGCGAGAGUGGCACUUGAAUUAGUUCCAACAGAACUGGAGAGGAGGAGAGGAGAGGCACACGUCUGAAAUGCCCAUCACGAGUCAGGCACUGGCCCAGGUGUGUUACCACGCAUCCGAUGCUCACAGCAAUCCUUCCAUGGAUCACUUCCAUUUCUAUUCUGUAGUUUAGGAAACAGGCUCAGAGAAGCUAAGCAAAUUUCCCAAAGUCCCACAGCCACAAAGUUGC